GCAGCUUCUNGCAUCAUACUGACACUGAGCUCGAAAGCGUGGGUAGCAAACAGGAUUAGAUNCCUGGUAGUCACGCGUAAACGAUGUCUACUAGUCGUUGGGUCCUUGAGGACUUAGUGACGCAGCUAACGCAAUAAGUAGACCGCCUGGGGAGUACGGCCGCAAGGUUAAAACUCAAAUGAAUUGACGGGGGCCCGCACAAGCGGUGGAGCAUGUGGUUUAAUUCGAUGCAACGCGAAGAACCUUACCUGGUCUUGACAUAUCUAGAAUCCUGCAGAGAUGCGGGAGUGCCUUCGGGAAUUAGAAUACAGGUGCUGCAUGGCUGUCGUCAGCUCGUGUCGUGAGAUGUUGGGUUAAGUCCCGCAACGAGCGCAACCCUUGUCCUUAGUUACCAGCGGGUUAAGCCGGGAACUCUAAGGAUACUGCCAGUGACAAACUGGAGGAAGGCGGGGAGGACGUCAAGUCAUCAUGGCCCUUACGACCAGGGCUACACACGUGCUACAAUGGUAGGUACAGAGGGCAGCUACACAGCGAUGUGAUGCGAAUCUCAAAAAGCCUAUCGUAGUCCAGAUUGGAGUCUGCAACUCGACUCCAUGAAGUAGGAAUCGCUAGUAAUCGCGGAUCAGAAUGCCGCGGUGAAUACGUUCCCGGCCCUUGUACACACCGCCCGUCACACCAUGGGAGUUGAUUUCCCCAGAAGUGGAUAGCUUAACCUUCGGGAGGCGUACACCAUAGAGUGAUCCGUUU
rnacentral:rRNA from 1 species